ACCUGCAGAGUACCGGGAAGAUGCAAAACACUGAUGUUGAAGAGGAACUUGGCAACUGCAGGAAGAUCCCUGUUAGCUGAUGUGGUUUUUUUUUGCUGAGGAUGGAUUCAGACCCCUGGCUCUCUGAAAGAUAAGUGGAGGGACUGGGGCUAGGGAGGCUGUGGGAAUUGCAGGGAGGGGUUUUAAAGCUGAUGUAGGGAGAGGACCAUCCAGGAACAGUCUCCUUUGGGCAGGUAAAGGGUGCAGGUAACUUAUCAGCACAAUGCUAGCUUGUACUAGACAGGACAGCUCUAAUUUGUGUCUGUGUUGUUAUGUAGUUUAGGAGGUCUGCCUUGCACCUGUUAGAUGUUCCUUGGGUCUCCAUGCUCUCAUUGUGCUCAAGGGGCACGGCAGGCAUCUUUCAGCAUCAUGUCUAGGGUCUGGCAUGCCUGUACUGAUUGGCACAGUGACAAUUGCACAUCACUUUUCUUGCAUUACCAACUGAAAGCGUGAAUCGUUCUUGUGCCUUGGAAGUUUCCAGCCAGUUGUCUUUUGUGGCAUCAUUCCAACCUGUGUUGGCAGCUCUGCUCUCUAGCCAUUCUGUUUAAUGGACUGGCCCUUCUUCCCAGCAUCCUGAACUUCGUCUUUCUUGAAGCCACAGGGCACGCUCCUAAAUACAUGCUUAGUAAUUGCUUCUUAGUAUUACUAAGAAGGGCAGCAUUAUAUUGAAUAACUGCACAACAAAAAGUUACAAUCCAGCCUGCACAUUUGGAUGGCUUUAGGGUUUAAAUUUUGUAGCAGGGGAAGUGGACAGAUUUUAGGCUAAAGCCCUAUAAGCCAAAUACAUUUAAGUGAGGAAGCAAAGAAGUAAGAAACUUGGACCACAUAGGUCACAGGGAAAACAAGAGCAAAAAAUUUAAGUCCCUGUAUCACAUGCAUAUUUUGAGAAAUCUUUCUUUUUUUUUUUUUUUUUUCCCUUUAGUUAAUUCUUAACUGUUUCAUGCCAGUUAAUUUCAGUCUACUUUAACGUUUUUUAUCAUUUCCUCACUACUGCCCUUACAGCCUCCAGCUCAUCGGGUUUAUUGUGCGCCAACAACUGCUUUGAAAUAAAGUAAUUCCAGUGGUAUGAUAGUCUGGCACACAUGUUGCUCAUUAAAACUGGGAAGAGGCCAUACAUGCUUUUAGGUACAGAGGACAUUAAAACACAUCUAUAAUUAGUAUUGUAUUAAUAUAAAUAUAGUUACAUUACAUCUUAUAUAAUAUUUUACACUUUCAUUUUAUGAGUUUAGGGUUACAGUAGUCAAGCAGCAUGAUAGGGAGACCAUGUUUUUUAAAAUCUUCAGAAAAGUAAGAACUUUCUAAAUAAACAAAGAAAAAUACACAAAGAAGAGAAACAGACAAAGAUGUUGAUUGGUCUCUGUUUAUUAAAGCAGGAGCUGACAAAUGUCCUUCCAGGCUAGAGAUGCUGUGUGGCAUGCUCCUUGCGAGGUGUGGAGAGAACUUGUGCAUCAAUAGGUGGGGUGGAUUGAUUAGAACAAGUUGUGGACGUGUUUGAUGUUGAUCAUAUAAGUGUGUGCUCCCAUGGAUAUCGAUUUUUUUCAAGACCAGCACUAUGUUGCUGUGGUAGGUGCACUGGAGCCCCCAGGCAAACCAGCAGCAGUUUGGUCCAGGCUCCAGAGGAGGGAAGGGCCUGAGCUGCAGCCAGGCCAAGAACUCCUUCCAGGAGACCCACAGGGAAGCAGAACAGCACAGUGAACACCGAUGCCCUGUGGGCACAGGGAGUCUCAUGCAGACUUUUCUAUGCAAUUUGACUACGAGUCAACCACUUCAUUUUAUAAAUACAACAGCCUGGAUGAGCCUACUUUAAGCUCUCCCUGCUAAAUUAGUGAGCUGUAUGGCAAUGGUUUUACUACUCACAAGUCAGUGGAUGAGCCCAGUUCAAGUUCAAUAUUGAUCAUUUAGCUUAAGUAGAUGCACACCAAAUGUAAUGGAUUGUUUAGAGAUAUAAGGUUGUAUGAUUUUUAGUGUACUCUUUGAUUCGUGUUACUUGGUAGACUAGAUUUGCUAAAAUUUUAAGCUGUAAGGUCCUACUUGUAUAUACCAAGAGUAACUGCAGACUACACUAAAUGCCUGCAAGAUAAAGUCUAGCUUGCAUUUUGCUGGGAAAAAUUGGUCUGACUGGGAAAACAAUGAUCCAAGGCUAACGUGGAGACAUCACAAACAUCUGGAAAGCAGGCCCUAUUUUGCUGAGAAGAAAGGGUUUACCCAGAACAAAGCAGAGGCCCACAUGGAGUUGGGGAAAAGGAGUCCAAUGGGGAGCAAGGGAGCUGAUGAAGAAAUUUUGCUAUUGGACUGAAUCUUGGUGUGAAUGAUCUGUAAAGACAUAAAAGUUUGUAGUUUUCUAUGCUUGGGUGGACCUCUGCGCAGGUACUCAGCUUGAGCCAGCCCUUCUGCUAUUCUACUCCAUUAAAUUUUUUAUUUUCUGAGAAUUUUGUUUCCAUAAAGUCUGCUCUAUAUGUGUUUAUGAGUCACCCCUGAAAGUUUGCCUUCAGAACUCUAAGUACAGGCUUUGGAGUGAACGGUUAUCAGGGGAAGAAGAAUUCCAAACAUUUGCUUUGCAACAGACAUAAGCCUCACCUGAAAUUUUGCCUCGGGAGCUUCAAAACACAGCCCCUGGAGCGAACAGUUAUCAGAGAAAGAAGAUGCCUGAAAGUUUGCUUUGUGAAUGGAUACAGGCACCUGGAGAGAAGAUUGGUCCCAAGAUCAAAGCACAGAUGACAGAAGAAGGGAUGACAAUGUUUAGCUACCAGCCACAAGGUGACAAAGCCAAUUUCUUCAGAAUGGUUUUCUCCAACCCAGCUACCAGGAAACCAGAUGUUGACUUCCUCUUUGAAGAAACUGAAAGACUUGGAAAAGAUUUGUGAUAAUUAAUCUCUUAACUUUAUGAGGUACCUAAAUACGUCAGAAGUUUCGUGCUUUGUAUUAACUGAACAUGGUAUUAAUCGUUCUAAGGUGGGAAAUAAGCUGUCAUCAUUGGUAUGCACUGGAAGAACCACAGAGAUUUUCACAGCACUCAGAUUAUAAAUGAGUUUUUUUACUACUUUGCAAAGCCUGAAAUUCAUUUUAUGAUGUCUCCUCAACUAAGAGGUUGUUUUUUUUCUUUUUUUUUAUUUUGUGGGGCUGUUUGAACAAACUUUAACUUUUGCAAAUUGGUAUGAAUCCUACCUUCUCUUUGGGACUGAUAUUUACCUGGUUUGAUUUGGGUCCAGUAGCAGGCACCAAGUGCUAUAAAAAUAACUUUAUCUCUUUCAUCAGUGAAGUGAGUAGAAUAGAAAGUCAUAGCUUGAGAUACCUUUACUCGCAGAUUUCUUCCUUGCAGUCAAGCUGAAAUUUUGAAGCUGUAUUUGGCCAUUUGAUUGUUUUAGAGUGCUCUGGUUGCUUUCUGCUGCAUUACAUUAUGUCUUCAUAGGAAAUGUUGUUGUAUCUCUUAGUUUGAAUACUUCAGUUCCGUAAUGUUUUGUGAUAUACUUAGUGUGUGCUUUCCUCUGAUCUGCAAUUUAUGUCUGUAACACUGGUUGAGUCUUUUAUCUCAUGAGUCGGGGUCCCAGCAUAACAAGACUUAAGACUUCCCUCCAUGGUUAUUCAAGUGAUUUUAUUCUUUUUUCCACGGUUGGUCCCUGCUCUAUCUACUAUGUAGAUGAGCAAGGGUAUAUCAGUUUAAAAUUACUAAGGGUUGGAGAGGAACUUGCUGCUCAUGGGUUAGAGAGAUUGCUUUUCUCUUUAUGUACCACUAGAAAUGCCUCAGAUCUUCACGCUGAGUUUCACAGGCUCUUGGGUAUUGACUUUCAAAAAAGAUGUGGGCAAACUUGAGGCAAAUUAGGGAAGGCCUGAGAAUAGUUAAAAAUCAUGAAUGUAUAGCUUACCAGAAAACACUGAAAUUAUUUUACUUUUUUAGGAAAAAUAAAAUUAGGAAGAGGCAUCAUGAUGAUAUUGAAAUAAUUAAAAAGCUUCUGAAAAAAAAAUGAAGCACAUUCCUUUCAUAUUCUUAGUGGAUAGGACAAAAAACAAUAGGCUUAUACUCCAGUCAAGGACAUUUGUGGUUCAAAAUUAAGAAGCAGAUUCCUGAUGGUAGAAACUGCUGAAUACUAGGACAGGUUAGUUUAAAAAAAAAAAGAGAAUCAUCAUGUGACAUUUGAGGUUUUUAAAACCAGAUAAGCUAAUAUUUUCCACUAAUUAUAUAGCUAUACUUGAUCUUGCCCGGGGUGAGCAAGCACAUGAGAAGUCAUUUUGAGGCUCCUCUAGCCUUAUGUUACAGAUGCACUUACCGGUAUCGAGCAAGGAAAAGAAAGGAUGAGUGACCAGGUUGCUGGAAUUGGAAAGUAGCUUUCCCAACUGGACCAUAGUCACCAACAAAGCCCUGGAUUUCUGAUUGUCAUAACUCACACAGAAGCCAGAGCAUAGUGCAGACCUAGAAGUAACUUAGAAAUUAAAUUGCCAUCACCCACUGUACAUAUAAACUGGUAUGUGAGUAGAUUAGAUCAGUGUGUGUAUACUUUAACAGUUACUGGAAGAAUUGCUAUAAAAUAUACUAGGAGGAUAUCUUGCAGUUUUCCAGUUGCAGACUAAUGGACCUAAAAUGGGUGUUCUCCUUUCUAAUUUUUAUUAAGUUGUGACACUGGAAACAAAUUGAGUCCAACUCAUUGUGCAAGACAAUAAGAUUGAUUUAAAUAAUUUCUAAAGUUGUUUUUUUUCCCCUUCUAUUCAAGUAUUUUCCCAUUGUAAUGGUUGAGUGUCUGCAGGGUUUGCAGAAGACCUACAUACUUAAUUAUUUCAUAUUCUCUGAGCCUUGAGCAUUUCAUAUACACACAGACAAAAGAAAAUCUAAUAAAUGAUGAAACACAUCAGGAAAAUCACAUCUGUAGCUGAAAUAUUUGUAUAUCUCAUUUUCACACUUUAGUUCAUUAAACAAAAAAAUGUAAAAGAAAUGGACUGAAAUGACAAGGUUGUGGUUUGUGGGAUUUUUUGUGGGUUGUUUGGUGUUUUUUUGUUUGUGUGGGUUUUGUUUGUUUGGUUGGUUUGUUUUUUUGUCUUGUGUGUGUGGUUUUUUGGUUUGGUUUGAUUUUGGUUUGGU